ACGGGGUGCAGCAGGCGCGAAAACUCCACAAUGUACGGAAGUACGAUGGGGUUAUCUCGAGUGCAGUCCGAUAAGGGCUGCUUUUCCAUAGAGUAAUAUCCUGUGGGAAUAAGAGGGGGGCAAGACUGGUGUCAGCCGCCGCGGUAACACCAGCCCCUCGAGUGGUGGGGACUAUUAUUUGGCCUAAAGCGUCCGUAGCUGGCUGUAUCCGUCUCCCGGUAAAUCCGGCGUCCUAAGCGUCGGUUCUCGGGUGAUACCAUACAGCUAGAGGGUGGGAUAGGUGAGCGGUAUUUCUGGGGUAGGGGCGAAA
rnacentral:rRNA from 1 species